UUGUCACUGUCCUGAAUGCCUACUUCAUGCCCUAUGCAGGGUUGACUACCACAAAAACUCAGAAAGCAGUCAGAGGUUAACCCCACACCAGCACCAGCAAGGGGGUGAUUUUACUAGCUCUCUUUGACAAGUGCCCGCUCGUGAUGAAGGAAGGAAGAACACGGCACAUUUCUGCUCUCAGGGACAAUAGAGAAGCAACAGGCUCGAAUGGCUGAAAUUGGAAUUUAAAGAGAUUGUGUUACAAUAGUAAGCGUUGCAUCAUAUCAGACUGGCUAUAUGCCCAAAAUAACUUUUAGUUUUCACCUGAUAGAAUGCUCUGCCACCAUAAACAUUUAUUUUAAGGAGGUUAUUAUUUUUUAGCUAAAAUUUAUUUAGCUACAUAAAUUUAGUGUAUGCUGCAUUAAGACUUUGCAUCCUGUUCUCAUUAAUAACUCUCAAUAGCACGGAGCAGAUACUGUCAACUGUAUUUAGAGGUGAAGUGAUUCCCCCGGAGGUUAAUUAAUUGUCCAGGGAAGUACAGCUACUAAAUCACUGAGGCGGGACCUGAUCCCGGGUGAAACACAAAAAUCCUUUCGGUGAAUUAUGGAGACCAUGAGUCAUCUCGCUCACAGUUUUGUGUCAAGAGUCAGAAGAAUAAAGUCUGACACAUGCCGCUAUAGGAAAUCGUCACGUGUGUGCAGGCAAAAGCUUGGAAGGGAACUUCACGUGCUUCUUGCUUUCGUGUCUAAGAAACUAAGGCAACCAGGACUCGCCGGAAAAUCAGCAAGUCGUCUGCAAGCACAGCACAGUCCCAAAGUCACAAGGCCCAAAAUUGUCACUCUGUCACGGCACAGGGCGAUAGAUGGCUGAGCUCCACCAGACACCGGUCUCUACCACUCAUUUUCUUCACAUCUUGGAGAAAUCGAAGCUCCCCUGCUUCAAGUCAUUAAGAGAAAUACUAGGAAACCUUUUAAAAGAACAACAUCCAUUCUACUGCUGUAACAGCUUGAAGCGCUUUUCACUCCAUGUUAAAAUUAAUCUGAACGAAAAGGGGUCAGCAGUAGUCGUUAGAGACUUCCCUAUCACCUUCCAACUAAGCACUGCUUUCUCGCGUGGAGGCUGGCUGUGUGUCUGAGUGCUGUGCGGGGGCUCGCCUGCAGGGGGCGCCCUAGCUCACACAUGAGGAAACACCUCAGCAAAGUCAGCAGCAGCGCCGGGAUCACCACCUGGAAUCACAGUCUUCUUAUGUUCCGCCUACUGCAACGUGCCUUCCCCUUGGGCGCAGUAGAUGUGAAACCAUAGGAGCAAGUUUUUAGUCACACUUUAAAUUGAUAUCCCCAAGACGGAGCCACAACUUUUUUUUCAAGAUCCCCGAUACAAAGCAUGUCUUAGGGUGCAUCUUUAUGCCUGAACCUCUUACAGUUUGUGAGUCCAUUCACUACCCCUUACAGUAGUGUCUCUCAACUUCCCUAAUCCUCUGAGCCCUUUAAUUCAGUUCCUUGUGUUGUGGUGAGCCCCCAACCAUAAGAGCUAUUAAAGUAAUUCUCUCCAAG
rnacentral:lncRNA from 1 species